UUCAAACACUGAGAGAGUAAUUGCUUCUACAUUUCUCAAUGUGUUAACGAUGGAAAUACAUUCGGUCUCCUUGUUGAGGGAAGAGAAAGUGGAUCUGGUAUUGACCAUAGCCUUUUGGAUCGUCUUUUUCACCAUCUUCGUGGAGGUCAAGUAUUUCCUAACCUCACUCGUAAGUACACCAGAUUCGCAUCCUCGUCUUCUUAUGAUAGAUUGAAGAUCCUGUAAGCAUGCCUUGGUUUGCAGCAGUGCUUCCUUGGCAGUGCUACAAACAUCCAAGAGCCUUAGAGAACCAUCUAAUAGCUCAUUAGUGCAUUUCUGAUGUUUCUUUUGCGCUGUUGCUUGCUGAUUGAGGGGCAACUGAAGCAACCUUUCAACACAUUCAUGCAAGUCUUGUAGACCACUUAGUUUGUGGCUGAUUGAUGAUGAAGAUGUUGUGGUGGCUGCAGACGACCUUAAUCUGCACAAUUGUUCAUUUGCUUCUUCAAUGAUAGGGUGUGCCCUGGAGGGGAAGCUGUUAGAGCGAGUGUGAGAAGCCAUUUCUUUGUGAUUUGUGGAAAAGGAUGGAGGAGCUUGUAGAUGUUGUUAUGUUUUCAACUUGGAUUGAUGAGUUGCUUUUCAUUUGUAGCUGCUUAAUAUAUAGGGUUGGAAAGGGGAACAUGGAAUCUCGUCCACCCCAAUCACUAGCUAAUGAGAGGUAACAUUAUUUCGAUCUGGAUCCACAUGUUCCCUAAGCGUUGUUUAUGCAGUGUCUCUUCCCACACCAGCAUACCAACUCAUCACCUGAUUCAUUUUGCAUAUAAAAUCUCAUAUUGCUUCACUGAUAAUCAAUUUAUUGGACAGCGAUUGCACGAGUGGCAUUGAAUGCUUGUGUUUGUUUGUAUGUGGUAAUGGGGAAACCAUGCAUCUCAUGUACAUGCAACAAGUAGUCUUAUUCAGCCUGUUGCUCCCAAUAGAAAGAAAACCAGAACAACUAUCAUUAUAGUUAAAUAAUGUGAGUCUAAUCUAACUUGUCACACAUAAUGUGGUUUCUGAUCUGAGUCUGCCAUGUGAUUGUAUUAGGUUAUCUGUACUUAAAUAUUUCCCUUGAGAUUAGCGGGAUUGGCUUGAAGGCGAUAGGUAAUUUGAGUUUCUGACAAUCCUUUUUAACUUUUUUUUUCCUUUCCUUUUUUCUUUCUUUCAGAGAAUAGAAGACUUUUCAGUUGAAUAUUUAAAGUCGAGUNNNNNNNNNNNNNNNNNNNNUGUGUGUGUGUGUUUGUGUUUCUAUUUUUAUAUUCUGAGGUAUUUUUCUUCAAAAUCCUACAAGGCAAAUGAAGCCAGCUCUCUAAUCCUAUAAAAGUUGAAUAGAAGAUGCUUAUGAUGAGCUCAAUCCAAUAUCUCAGUUUGAUUCUUUCAGAAAUUGUCCCUCGAAAACAGGAGGUAUAUGUCAUUUACAGCUUAACGUAUGUGAUAGUCAUCAUUUUCUUUGAAUACCAUUAGUUGUUGAUUAUUGAUUAUCCUUCAUGAGACAUUUGGAAUCUUAUCAGUUCCGCCAAUUGAUAUAUGUUGUUAGCAAACCUCAUGUGAUAGCCUUAAAAUAAUAAUGAAAACUCCUAUAAUUAACCUUUCAGAAUCUCAGUUAACAUUGUAAAAUUUACAUUUCAGAGGACCUCAAUUUAGAAGCUGCAUUAUGACUGUUCUUUGUGACAAUAACAUUUUUAUUCAUUUUGAUCUUGUAACCGGAUCCUAAGGAAGUUUUGUAUUUCUUAUAUUUACAUAUCGAUUUCAACAUUUGCAUGAAUUCUGAUCAGUAAUUCAGUAUGAAACUAUGAAUCAACCUUGUGGCCGGGCGCCAAACUGAAAUUUUCUUGUAACUAAUAAAAAGACUCGUGGAAAUUUAAGCCAAAGAAUAUGUAUUUUGGUGUAUAUCAAUAUGUUUUAUGAAGAUCUACACAUGUAUGUAUGUUUUUCAUGUACAAAAUUGAUCAAAAAGCUAGUAUCUAGUGGUUGAGGAUGUUGAGUAGGGAGACUCUUGUUUUUAUCAAUUGCCUAAAUAGACACUCGAGUCCUUCUUCUUGGUCUUGAAUGCAAGUCUCCAGAUUGUUGAGCUGGUUUUGUGCAUUGUCUAAACUCUUGUGUGACUUCAAUGCAGCAUCAACCUCUGCAAAUUCGUUUACUUGUUCUUCCUCACAAGCUACUCUUUUUGACUGCAACUUCUUGGAUAUAAAUGACCAGCUGCUUGAUACCUUUGGGCCAGUGAUAAAAGACAAUAUUGCUUCAAACACUGUUUGUGUGACUGCUUCAACGUCUCUCAGCUUGUUAAUGAUGGCGAUUGUCUCUUGGUCCUUGCUGAGGGAAGAGAAAUUGUAUUUGUUUUCAAUUCCCUUCAGAUUCCCCAUAGCCUUAUGGAGUGACUUUUUCACCAUCUUCCUGGAGCUGAAGUAUUUCCUAACUUCACUGGCGAGUAAAUCAGAUUCUUCUCCUCCUCUUCUUCGGAUGAUUGAUUGAAGGUUCUGAAUGCAUUCCUUGGUUAGCAACAAGGCAUCUUUGGCAGUGCUGCAAAUAUCCAAGAGCCUGAGAGAGCGAUCUAAUAGUUCAUUAGCCCAAUUUCCAUGUUUCUCUUGCGCCAAGGCUUGUUGGUUGAGUGGCAAUUGAAGCAACCUAUCAACACAAUCAUGCAAGUCUUGCAGACCAUGAAGUUGGUAGCUUAUUGAUGAUGAUGAUGAUGAUGUGGAGCUGGCUUCGGAAGACCUCAAUCUGCACAAUUGUUCGUCAACUUCUUGAAUGAGAGGGUGUGACCUGGAAGGGAAGCUGUUAGAGCGAGUGUGGUAAGCCAUUUCUUUCUCGUGGUUUGUGGUGAUAGAAAACUUUGUAGUUGAUGUACAAUUGAAACUGAUGAGUUCUCUCUUCAUACAUCUGCUUCAUAUAUAGUGCAAGUUUAGGAAGGAAACAAGGUAUCUCAUCCACUUUAAACAAUAAUUCAAUAUUAAGAGGUAGCAUGAUUUUGAUCUGGAUCUAUAUGUUCUGCAGCCAAUGUUCAAGCAAUGUCUCUCAUUAACCAGCAUACCAACUCAUGAUAUGAUUCAUUUUGCAUUUAAAUUCUGGAUAUAGCUACUUUCACAGGAACUCAUAAAUUAAAUAUGCAAUAGCAUGAGUGGGAUUGACACUUUGUCCUCUAAUACAUGCACGCGGAAGCAAAAACCAUCCAUCUCAAUUAUGCUGAUUAAUUUAUGUGAUUUAAUUCAUAUUUUGCAGCGGUCCUUCACUUGUUUGUUUCGAAAGAGGAGGCAAGAUCUGCGAUUCUGCAAUGAAUGAAAUUAUUGGCAGGUGGCUUAGCGAACAAGAUGAACUGGACUGUUCCCUCAACAGAUGAAAACCAGCACUAUUCUGGCUAUCAUCAGAAGGGUGUUUCAGUAGAUGCUGUAGAGUAUGUUUUCAUACUUAACUCUUGUGAGUGAUAAACUCAGUUAUUAUAUGGACAUGUUCAAAGGGUUUUAAAUUAAAUUCUUAUAUGAUGUUAGUCAUUAACUUUUACCUGAAAAGAUAGAGGUUAAGUCGGUGAUCCUUCCAGCAUUAAUAUGCUCAGAACCUAACAUGUAGUGUUUAUCUCCCAACCAAUUAUCUCCCAAUUAAUUAGAUAAAACCAGUUUCUUUAAUAUUCUUUUUACCAAAAGAAAUUAUGAACAUAUUAAUCAGCAUAAAUAAAGUUUUCAACAGAUCAAGCUAGAUAAUAUGUGUUUGCCCCCUAAGAACAGUAAGGCAGCCAGCACUAAUCCACUGCGUAAGCGUUCAAGAAUUAAGCCCUGAUCCUUUUAACAUCACUAAUGUAUGUUGAUUAUUGAUUAUAUCCCUUGAGACAAUUGGAAUCUUCCAGCCUUGACAUUAUAUCAUUUGAAUUAAUCCCAUAGCCAUGUGACCUCAAUUAUGAUCUCAAAAUUUUUGAAUUACUUCUCAGCAUUGUACAUUUGGAAGUUACAGUUAAACCUUCCAUCUUCUGAUUGGAUACUACAAUUCUACAAAACAUUGUUUUGUUUUCUCAAUUAAUUUUCUGGAUCGAUACCCAGGAUAGGAUGAUUACAGGAACGUUUAUGAGGCUAAUGGGUGAAUUUUAGUACAGUAUUUAUUAACCAUUGGGGAUCAUAAAAAAUGAAGGUUUUUGAACUAAGAAUCACGAGUUGUGGCAAUGUAAGCAGAAGAGUUUCACUAUGUAUAUUAAUCUGAUUUCAGAAGAGGUAUACAUGUAUAUAUGGAUGUAUUUCUAUGUUCAAAAUGGGUCUAAGUUCUAAUAACUAGUGGUUUAAGAUGUUGAGGAGGGAGACUCUUGUUUUGAUCAAUUGCCUAAUUAGGCACUCGAGUCCUUCUUCUUGGUCUUGAAUGCAUGAAUUCAGAUUGUUAAGCUGGUUGUGUGCAUUGUCUAAAUUCUUUUAUGACUUCAAUGCAGCAUCCACUUGUGCAAAUUCGUUUACUUCCAUUUCUUCCUCGCAAGCUAUUCUUUUAGACUGCACCAUCUUAGAAACCAAAGACCAGCUGCAAGGCUUUGACUUUGGCCCAGAGAUGAAGGACAAAACUGAUUCCAACACUGUGAGGGUGACUGCUUCAACAUCUCUCAACUUGCUAACAAUGGCGAUAGUCUCUUGGUCGUUGUCGAGUGAAGAGAAAGGUGAUCUGUUUGCCUUCAGAUUCUUUAAAGCCUUGUGGAUUGCCUUUUUCACCGUCUUCCUUGAGGUUUAGUAUUUUCUAACCUCACUUGUGAGCACUCCAGAGUCAUCUUUACGCCUUCUUCUGAUGAUUGAUUGAAGGUCUUGUAUGCACUCCUUGGAUUGCAACACUGCAUCCUUGGCAGCGCUACAAACAUCCAAGAUCCUCAGAGAUCCGUCUAGUAGCUCAUCGGCCCAUUUCUGAUGCUUCUCUUGUGCCAAGUAUUGUUGGGUAGGUGGCAAUUGAAGCAACCUAUCAACACAAUCAUGCAACUCUUGAAGGCCACUUAGAUGUACGUGGAAGUUGUUUCAGAAGACCUCAAUCUGCACAAAUAUUCAUCAACUUCUUGAUCGAUUGGGUGUGGCCUAGAGGGGAAGCUGUUAGAUCGAGUGUGGUAAGCCAUUUGUUUUUACUGAUUUUGGAGAUUAUAGAAGACCUUGCAGUUGAUGUACAAUUGGAACUGAUGAGUUAUUUCCUUAUUUAUCUGCUUAAUAUAUAGUGUUAAUUCAAGACGGGGACAUGGAAUCUCAUCCACCUCAUUCAGGGAGAAGUAACAUGAUUUUGAUUUCAAUUUCAUUGUUCCCUAGGCAAUGUUUAUGUAGUGUCUCCUUAUGCACCAGCAUACCAACUCAUGAACUAAUUUAUUUUGCAUUGAAAAUCUUUUAUCAUAACUUAACCAUCGUGCAAACAUAAUUUUUUAAAUUGCCAAAUUGGUCAGCGAUUGCACGAGUUGCACUGAGCUGUGUUGAUGCAUUCUGCUCAUAAGAAGAAAUAUGCUAAUCAGUAAUUCAGUAUAUAUAGUGUAGUGAUUGGUAUGCAGGGAGUGGGCAAGAUCUGCAAUUUUCUGACCAUGCAUUGUGUUUUCAUCGUGCAGAAAAUUGGUCAGGGGCCCAAGAUGAGUUAGCCUGUUCCCCAAACAGGAAGGAAAUCAGCAAACAUAUCAUUUUAAUUAGAGUAGAGAGAUCUGAGUCUGCCAUGUGAUUAUCAUUAAUCAAAAUUUGUAUUUAAUCUGCUUUCUACUAUUUCCCUGGAGAUAACUGUAAACUGACAUCAAUGUAAAUCGGGUGUGUUCUUGAGCGAGCAUGGCAAUUAGGUUUUACAACAAUCAUUUAUAUUGUACCCAUAGAAGAGAAGGUAUUCAGUUGAAUCUAAGUAGAGAAUCUUUCUGCCCUCUCAGCAUAUGGUAAGUUUAAAACCAUAUCACAAUGCAAUGCCUCCUUAUCCAUGCCAUUCCAAUUAUUUUCUAUAUAAUCAUAUCCUUUGUUUGCUGAUAUUGUAAGUUCUUAACCUAGGAUAUACUUGGAUUGUUUUAACAAGGAGAUAAAUUAAUCAAGGCCCGAGUGGAUUGAUACAUUUUCCUCGUCUCCAAGAAAAAGGCAAGGUCUGUUCUUUAGUGUAUUUUUUCUUCUUCUUCUUCUUCUUCUUCUUUCUUUUUUUUUUUUAUUUUUUUAUUUUUUUCCUGCAAACAGCAAUAUACAAUUGUAUUGUCAAUCGUAUGAGCCAUGUUUACACGUGGAAACACCUAUAUUCGUAUACAAUUUUCUUUGUUAAUCCUAGAAAUUAGAUGUACAAACAGGGAAGAAAUAAAGCCACCUAUCAAGCAUCUGCUAAAUGACAUUAAUAUAUUAUCAUCAAAAUGCUUUAUUAUGAAGUUGCUGCUACCUAUUGACCUAACAUGUAUUUGAUUGCCAUUUAAUCACUCCAGUGCAGUGUAUUGAACCUAUAACCUUCUUAUGUUUACUCCUUGAAACGUGUGGGAAUCAAUCAAGUCCUUGGAAUUCCAAGGUUUGGGAGUAGCUCCUAGAGACAAUUGGAAUCUUGACAACCAUGACAUUUGAAUUUGAACAAGUCCCAUGUGAGCUCAAUUAUCGUUUCAGCAAUUUCUCUGAAUUUACUCAUAGAUUUGUACAUUUAGGAAUUUACUGUGAUUUUUUUGUCAUGUUUUAAUUAAUGUACAUGAAGGAAUCCUGUUUUCUCCAUUAACAUUGUAAAGUAGCUAAUACGAUAACUGGAAUAAUGCUGCUACUUAGUUGCAGGAUUUCUUGAUCUGAUUAUCCGUAUGCAAAAGCGAUUCAGAAAUAAAUGCUUUUGAACCAAGAUAAACAAGUAAUGGCUAUUUCAGUAGAAAAUAGUAUAUCAUUGUGUAUAUCAAUUUGAUAUUAAAAGAUGUAUAUAUGUGUGUUUUUGAUGAUAAAAUUGAUCUAAUUGCUAAUAUCUAGUGGUUGAGGAUGUUGAGAAGCGAGACUCUAGUUUUGAUCAAUUGCCUAAAUAGGCACUCGAGUCCUUCUUCUUGAUCUUGGAUGCAUGACUCCAGAUUGUUAAGCUGGUUCUGUACAUUGUCUGCACUCUUGACUGACUUCAGUGCAGCAUCCACCUCUGCGAAUUCAUUUAUCUCUGCUUCUUCCUCACAAGCUACUCUUUUUGACUGCAUCAUCUUUGAUACCAAUGACCAGCUUGUUGAUGCCUUUGGCCCCGAGAUGAAAGAGAACAGUGAUUCAAACACUGAGAGAGUAAUUGCUUCUACAUUUCUCAAUGUGUUAACGAUGGAAAUACAUUCGGUCUCCUUGUUGAGGGAAGAGAAAGUGGAUCUGGUAUUGACCAUAGCCUUUUGGAUCGUCUUUUUCACCAUCUUCGUGGAGGUCAAGUAUUUCCUAACCUCACUCGUAAGUACACCAGAUUCGCAUCCUCGUCUUCUUAUGAUAGAUUGAAGAUCCUGUAAGCAUGCCUUGGUUUGCAGCAGUGCUUCCUUGGCAGUGCUACAAACAUCCAAGAGCCUUAGAGAACCAUC
rnacentral:lncRNA from 1 species